rnacentral:rRNA from 1 species
AACAAACGCUGGCGGCGUGCCUAAUACAUGCAAGUCGAACGGGGAAAGCUUUCGGGUGAGUACUAGUGGCGCACGGGUGAGUAACGCGUGGAUAAUCUGCCUUAGAGUGGGGGAUAACUAGUCGAAAGAUUAGCUAAUACCGCAUAAGACCACAAGAACUGCGGUUCAAGGGGUCAAAGGUUUUUCGCUCUAAGAUGAGUCCGCGUAAGAUUAGCUAGUGGGUAGGGUAACGGCCUACCAAGGCGACGAGCUUUAACUGGUCUGAGAGGAUGAUCAGUCACACUGGAACUGAGACACGGUCCAGACUCCUACGGGAGGCAGCAGGAGGGAAGAUUGCACAAUGGAGGAAACUCUGAUGCAGCGACGCCGCGUGAGUGAUGAAGGCCUUCGGGUCGUAAAGCUCUGUCGCAGGGGAAUAACACAAUGAAGGUACCCUGUAAGAAAGGAUCGGCUAACUUCGUGCCAGCCGCCGCGGUAAGAC